UACGAAGGAGGCAAGCGUUGUUCGGAAUCACUGGGCUUAAAGCGCAUGUAGGCGGGAAGCAGGGUACCUUGUGAAAUCCCUCGGCUCAACCGAGGAAUAGCUUGGUAAACCGGUUUUCUUGAGGCAGGUAGAGGCGGGCGGAACCAUGGGUGGAGCGGUGAAAUGCGUAGAGAUCCAUGGGAACACCGGGGGCGAAAGCGGCCCGCUGGGCCUGAUCUGACGCUGAGAUGCGAGAGCGUGGGUAGCAAACAGG
rnacentral:rRNA from 1 species